rnacentral:rRNA from 1 species
GAUGAACGCUAGCGGGAGGCUUAACACAUGCAAGCCGAGGGGUAUAGUUCUUUCGGGAACUCGAGACCGGCGCACGGGUGCGUAACGCGUAUGCAACUUGCCCUACUGAAAAGGAUAGCCCUUCGAAAGGAGGAUUAAUACUUUAUAACAGAUUUAUUGUCAUCAUUAGAUUUUGAAAGAUUUAUCGCAGUAUGAUAGGCAUGCGUAAGAUUAGUUAGUUGGUGAGGUAACGGCUCACCAAGACGGUGUACUUUAGGGGGCCUGAGAGGGUGAACCCCCACACUGGUACUGCGACACGGACCACACUGCUACGCGAGGCAGCAGUGAGGAAUACUGGACAAUGGGUGGAAGCCUGAUCCAGCCAUCCCGCGUGUAGGAUGACGGCGUUAUGGGUUGUAAGCUACUUUUAUAUGGGGAUAAACCUACUUACGUGUAAGUAGCUGAAGGUACCAGAAGAAUAAGCACCGGCUAACUCCGUG